rnacentral:rRNA from 1 species
CUCAAAUUUGAAAUCUGGCUCUUUCAGAGUCCGAGUUGUAAUUUGAAGAAGGUAUCUUUGGGUCUGGCUCUUGUCUAUGUUUCUUGGAACAGAACGUCACAGAGGGUGAGAAUCCCGUGCGAUGAGAUGAUCCAGGCCUAUGUAAAGUUCCUUCGAAGAGUCGAGUUGUUUGGGAAUGCAGCUCUAAGUGGGUGGUAAAUUCCAUCUAAAGCUAAAUAUUGGCGAGAGACCGAUAGCGAACAAGUACAGUGAUGGAAAGAUGAAAAGAACUUUGAAAAGAGAGUGAAAAAGUACGUGAAAUUGUUGAAAGGGAAGGGCUUGAGAUCAGACUUGGUAUUUUGUAUGUUACUUCUUCGGGGGUGGCCUCUACAGUUUAUCGGGCCAGCAUCAGUUUGGGCGGUAGGAGAAUUGCGUUGGAAUGUGGCACGGCUUCGGUUGUGUGUUAUAGCCUUCGUCGAUACUGCCAGCCUAGACUGAGGACUGCGGUUUA